rnacentral:rRNA from 1 species
AUGUUUAAGCAAGAUGACUUUAAUGCUUAUUUUGGUAGACAAUUAAAACAAGAUGCCUAUAUGAUUAAACACUUGGGUGCUUAUAUGGCUGAUAUUAGACAUGAACUUAAACUUGUUAGCAAACAUGCUUCUAGGGUUACCACUCAAGUAGAACAAGUACUUAAAGCUCAAAAAGAAGCGCUUGAUGAAAUGAAUAGUAAGAAAAAUGAUUAUGCUAUUAGAGUGGCUACUAGAACCGGUAGAAUGACUCAGGAACCUUUGUAUCCUGAAGGCCACCCUAAGAGGAUCGAGCAAGAUUCUCGGAGAAAUGAUAUUGAUGUACCUAGUUCUUCUAAAAAGAAGAAAAAGAAAAAUGAUAGGACUUUGCAAACUUCUAGUGAACCUAUCGCUGAGCCACCUGAGAAUCCAAAUGAUAUUUCUACUUAUGAUGCUGAAACACAAUCAGGUGAUGAACAUGAACCCAGAGAUAAUGUUAAUGAUAAUGUUCAUAUUGAUGCUCAACCUAGUAAUGAUAAUGAUGUAGAAGCCGAACCUGCUGUUGACCUUGAU